UACAAUACUGUUACUUCAAUUAUGUGGUCCAAAGUCAAAAUCUGUUUUGUAGAAAGAACCAAUUAUUAAAUUGUUGCAUCCAUCCAAUUCAGAUAUGGCAGGUCCGCCUUAGUUACGCCUGGUAAAACCGUUACUUGACAGUAACUUUUAACCAAUAAAAAUUUGCUUACAUAAAAAUUGCAUUAGAAUAUUAAAUUGACCAACACACUGUAACU
rnacentral:lncRNA from 1 species